GAGAAUCUGAUAUUUUCUGUUUUUACUCUGUAUAGGGGAGUAACUGCUGAUCUACUAAUGGCUGGAUAGAUAAAUGUUGGAGUAUCUUGGAUUCAUCAACUGAGUAUUAUUGCCUGGAUGACUUAUGGAAGCAACAGUUAAGAGUUUCAUUUGAUUUGACAGAGUAUAUGGAACAGCAUCCAGAAGCAUCUAAUUGGGGGAUUGGGAUCUCUAGUUUUAGAAAAAAUGCCUCGUUUCAAGAUUACCAUGGACUCAAAACUUUCAGACAGAAAACUGUUUUCAGUGGACAGCCUACUAAAGCUGACUACAAUCAUAUACCUUGUGCUGUAUUCCGGUAACAAAAAUAUUCCACCUAAAUUUCAAAGUUAUUUUACAUGACACUGCUGUAUUCUGUGUGAAGUAAAUUACAAGAAAAAAGUACCACUACAUAAUUGAUUAUUUGGAAUAAACUAAUUCACAUAUCGAUUGAUAAAUCUGUCAAUGUUGUGUAUCCUCUGCUAAACCAUACACCAGAAACUCCCUGAAAAUUCCAAUAAAUAUCAUCUGCAUGCCUUGUUUCAAGAUUUUUACUAUGCGUUUUUUCCUUCCCCAAAGGUUUUUUUGUCAGUUUCUCUUUUAGAGCCCCUUUCGAUAUAUGAUCUUGGUAGAUGUAUGUUAUAUAUUCCAGUCCACUAAGGUGGAGCUCAGCCAUAUGCUUCGUAAAGCUAAUGAAUUAUCUUGUAGUAUCCUGAGAGGAAGGAAUGUUCAAAAUUCUUACAGAGGGAAUCAAACAACAAUCACUUUUCUUUAUUCUUCCUGGAAAGUACCAAGGGAGCUAAUGUGCUUCUUGCACUGAAAACAAGGGAACCUUGCCUCUUUUUUUUUUUUUGGCAUAAAUAUAAUAAAUGAGUGAACAACUUCUUGUUAGUUUUUGGUUUAACAGGUAAAUGUUCUCUGUUGAGUAGUUUUCUCCCUGCUGACAAUGGCUUGGACUUUUAAGUAGGAUUUGAAUGCUUGAUUUCCGAAUGGAUGCAUCUUAUCCGCCAAAAAAAAAGAAGAAGAGAAAAGAUAACUAGUUGUGCUUAUUCCUGCAUGAUCUGUGGAUAUGUCAUAUGCAUAGUCACUUUGCUCAUGGGACCCCAGCAAGAGGCCAACGGCUGUAGAGGCCCUCCAACAUUCAAAUGCACGGUAUGCUAUC